rnacentral:piRNA from 1 species
UGUAAUCUUUAAAAGUGCUAUCCAUCCAUC